ACUCCUACGGGAGGCAGCAGUGGGGAAUUUUGGACAAUGGGCGAAAGCCUGAUCCAGCCAUUCCGCGUGCAGGAUGAAGGCCCUCGGGUUGUAAACUGCUUUUGUACAGAACGAAAAAGCUCUGGCUAAUACCUGGAGUCCAUGACGGUACUGUAAGAAUAAGCACCGGCUAACUACGUGCAGCAGCCGCGGUAAUG
rnacentral:rRNA from 1 species